CAUGUAAAAUGUAGUAGAUAACAAAGCAAGACGGUAGUUAAUUGAAAAAUCAACUGAAUAUCAGUCGUGUUUGUGUACAAUCUGACGUGUUUGAGUAAUUGGAUAUCAAUAAAAAUAACCUGUUCAACACAUAGCUUUAUUUAUCUAGAUACAGAAAACUUUUGCGUGAUGUGUGCGCUACGAUUGUUCCUUCUAAAAAGUUGUAUAUUUGGAGUGUACAUUUUAGUCACAGAGGCAAGUGUUUUGCUGCAAACAUUUGAUGGAAAUACGAGUUAUUUUAAAGGGUCUUCAGUAGAACUCGUGUGCACAAUUAUUCCCUAUAAUAAUGAGAUGACUUGGUAUGUGGACAAUAAACCAUACGCAGGGUGUUUUUUGGGCACAUGCGGACCUUCUCCAAACAAACCAUAUACAUUUAUAUUCACCUUCAAUGAAAGUGCAAGGGAAUUCAAGUUCACUAUAGAUUCAGUGAAUUUAUCUCACGCUUCUCUUUCAUUUGCUUGCGACGAUGGAUUUGUGAGAGAAACUAUUUCUAUCAAUGUGACAAUAGGUAAUUUUAAUAAUGCAUACCAUGUGCCACGACCAUAGAUAUAUCAUUAUCGUUUGAUCGAAAAUAAAUAAAACAUGAUUAUCUGUUUA